AACUUCUUCGUCCCUCUUCCUCUCUCUCGACGAAAUCAACAGCGGCGACGGUCCUCUCGUUCAACUCCGAUCGAAGCUUCUCCGUCUCGAUUCACACUUCUUCUCUUCUGAUUCUUCGUCUUUCCGCCUUGUUGUUGUCCGUAGGUGAAGAUGUAACGCGCGAUUUAUGCAGAGAAGAGCUUGAAGAUUUUUUCUUGCGAUCGUUGUUGACGAGAGAGAUAGUUGAAUGGAAUUUCCAAAUGGACCAAGGUUCGGUUGAACAAUGAUAGAGUGAUGAUUGAAGGUCGAUGUAUCGUGAUGGAGGAAGAUUCAAUGGGGAGUAUGCGGAAAUCGUGAAUUGAGAGGAGAAUCAAGUUGAACAUUGAAGGUUCAAGAGAAGAAGAACAGUGGAUAGGUGAUGAUUGUUGUUGGUGCGUUGAUGUUGUGGCAAAGAUGAAGGUUGAAGAUUGAAGUUUGAAGUGUUGUGGACGAAUGAUGUAUGGAUGAAGCUGAUGAAGGUUGGUGGAGAUUUGUAGAGUGUGAGAGAUGAAGAUGGAGAAAUGAGAAUGGUGGAGAAAGAUGAGAAGUAUCGGAACGAUGGAGUAAAUGAAGAUUGAAGAAGAUGAGAUGUGAAGAUUGAGAAUGGGUGAAGAAAAUGGUGGAGGUUAUGGAAGUGAAGGGGGAUUGAAGAAUUGUGGAGAUGGUGAUGAAUUAAGCGUGAGGCCUGAGAUGAGAAGUGGAGAGGGAAUGGUGAAGAGAGAAGAGAUGAAACUGAUGAUGAUGAAUGAUAGUGAAAAAAUGGUGGAGAGACCUCUUUGAAGGUGAAGGCUUGAAUUAUAUAAACUCUCAGGGUAUUGGCAGCAUGUUGUUUUUACAGCAUUUGGAUGCAUUGGAGACUACAUGAAAGUUUGGGGUGGUGAUGCAUAUGGUGAGGACCUGGUGGAAUGAAGAUGACACAAGCAAGAUGAAUUUUGGAUGACAUUUGAAAGUAAACUAUGAUGGGAACAAUGAGCUUUAGGAAGUAGGAAUCUAAUACACUUUUGUGUAACUUUUCUCCUUUGCA